AUGCAUAGGAAUCUGCCCGGUAGUGGGGGAUAACCUGGGGAAACCCAGGCUAAUACCGCAUACGUCCUACGGGAGAAAGGGGGCUUCGGCUCCCGCUAUCGGAUGAGCCUAUGUCGGAUUAGCUAGUUGGUGAGGUAACGGCUCACCAAGGCCACGAUCCGUAGCUGGUCUGAGAGGAUGAUCAGCCACAUCGGGACUGAGACACGGCCCGAACUCCUACGGGAGGCAGCAGUGGGGAAUAUUGGACAAUGGGGGGAACCCUGAUCCAGCCAUGCCGCGUGUGUGAAGAAGGCCCUCGGGUUGUAAAGCACUUUCAGCGAGGAAGAACGCCUAGCGGUUAAUACCCGCUAGGAAAGACAUCACUCGCAGAAGAAGCACCGGCUAACUCCGUGCCAGCAGCCGCGGUAAUACGGAGGGUGCAAGCGUUAAUCGGAAUUACUGGGCGUAAAGCGCGCGUAUGUGGCUUGAUAAGCCGGUUGUGAAAGCCCCGGGCUCAACCUGGGAACGGCAUCCGGAACUGUCGAGCUAGAGUGCAGGAGAGGAAGGUAGAAUUCCCGGUGUAGCGGUGAAAUGCGUAGAGAUCGGGAGGAAUACCAGUGGCGAAGGCGGCCUUCUGGACUGACACUGACACUGAGGUGCGAAAGCGUG
rnacentral:rRNA from 1 species